rnacentral:rRNA from 1 species
AUGGCUUCCAAUAGCGUGUUUGCUGAGUUGCUCAGGAACUACAAGUUAGAUGGCACAAACUUCACUAUUUGGAGAAGGAAGAUGAUGUUUCUACUUACAGCUGAGAAUGUUGAGUAUGUAAUUUCGGCCGCCGAGCCUAGCGAACCUGCUGAUGAUGCUUCGGAUGAGGAAAAGGAUAGUUAUGUAGAAGAACUCAAGCAGUGGAAUAAGGACAAUAAAAAGGCAAGGAUUUUUAUUCUUGGCUCCAUGUCCGAUUCAUUGGCAGGUGAAUAUGAAACAGAGGUUGCUGCACACAGGAUUAUGAGAAGGCUGGAAGAGGAUUUUGGUGAAGUUUAUUUAAUCAAAGUGCUUAGCUUCCUGAACAGAUUCUUAACAUCUAAGAUGGCAGAUAAUACUUCUGUCAAUGAACACCUAAACAAGUUGUGCAUGCUGGAUGAGGAAUUGAAAAAUGCUGGCUAUCCUCUUUCUGAGGAGGUGCAAGUAAUGGUGGCUCUGAACUCACUUCCGCACACUUGGGAACAAUUCAAAAUAUCAUUUUGUCACUCCGAAAUAUUACUGAACACACGCAAUUUGAGGCAUCAUUUGCUCAUGGAAGAAGAUAGGCAACUUCACAAGGGAAAGAGAGACACUCACACCAUUAGGAGUUUCACCUUGGUGAAGAUAGGAGGCGCUGGCAGAAGAAGCAUCAAGGAGGUGAUUUGA